rnacentral:rRNA from 1 species
AAAGAAGUAAGGUCCCUUAAAGAUCAUGAGGUAGAUAGGUCGGAGGUGUAAGCACGGUAACGUGUUGAGCUGACCGAUACUAAUCGACCGAGGGCUUGACCUA